AUGAAUUCAGAAGAAAUUAUUGAAUGCAUAGAAAACCUAUGGUAUCGUGUUAAAAAGAUGGUGAAUAAAAAAGAUAGUCAAGAUCUUUCCAAAGAAGAGGCAAGAAUUGUAGAAGAAGUCAGACAGGGGACUCUGGAGAUCUUACAAGAUGCUCUGAAGAAAAAAGACCGGGUGCUGAUGAAGGCACCUGAGAGAGUUGUCCUUCGGGGGGAAGAGAGGACGUCUUUCUGGAUGAAACGCCAUUCCAUCCUGACAGAAGAUAUAGUUCAAAGCCUGAUUGCAGAACUCAAGAAAGUCUACUUCAAGAAGGAUCAUGGAAGAAGUAAUACUGCAUAUGUGUUGCAUGGACCCGAAAGGAGAAGAACCAUCUACUUGUGUGACUUAUUCUGGAAGCGUUCAAAGUAUCUCACAAGACGUUCCCAGCCAGGUGUCCUCAUUCACGAAGUGGCUCACUUCCUGGGAGCUAAAGACUUCACCUAUGAAGAAAACACCCUCAUUGUUGGGUGCAAAGGCUGCCUGAUAAAGAACAGUCCAGCACACAGUUCGACUCCUUCUCGGGAGGACGACUGGGAGGGGGCCCUGAGGAAAGCCUUUCUGAAUGCCAACAACAUCGCGCACGAGUUUGAGCUGACCAUAAACCACAAAGGCAGCUAUGUGAAUGGCAGGUACUCCUGCUGUGGGGAGGUGAAGAGAUAUUCUGUGUGUGAGUCUUCUGUGCCUGACUACUUCCAUAUGUGUGAUGCUGGUGAAAGGUGGGAAACUGUGAUACUUUUGAAUGAAUUACAUCGAAAAUCAAGGGCCCUUGCGCCCAAGCUGAGACGAAUCAACAGAAUCGUUGAUGAAAUUGAUGAAUGUCUGAAGGAUGUUCACAUGGGUAUUUCCGUUGCAGUUGGUGGAGGAACAGGGGCUGCAGUGACAUACUUUCUAAGCGUUUCCCUGCCUCUUGCAACAGGACCUCAGUAA
rnacentral:lncRNA from 1 species